CUCAGGUGCUUUAGUUACUGUGGUCCUGUUGUUUGGAACAAGCAUCCCACUGACUUGAGGUCAAUUACAACUGUGUCUACAUGCAAAAACAGACUCAAACCAUGUUAUCCUCACAGGCUUACAGUUAAUAAUUAGGCUCUCAGUGGAUUAUGAGGCACUGUUGAAAGAACACAAAGAUGUGAAGCAAAAGCUGGAAGCCUCUAAAGCCAGGAGCAAAACUCUAUCUGCUGAAGUCAAAACUCUGAAGCAUCAAAUAUCAACCCUGAUGGAGAAGGGGAAACACGAUGAUGAGUUCGUGGCUGCUUUGAUGAAGCAGCAGGCCCAGAUGCAAACGGUAUUAAAACGACUCAGCCAAAAACAAAACGUACAGAGCAAGGUGAUGCAGCAGAGUGUAGGACAACAGCUGAGCAACAUACCUUCAGAGCACAGUGCUAUCGUCCAGAGAUUUAAGGAGAUACUUGCUGAGAAAGAUGCCAUUAUCAAAAAACUACAGAAAAGCCAGCAAUUCUCUGAUAAGGUGUUGAAGAACAAUGAUGUGCACAGACAGCCCAGCAUCAGGAUAACAAACUGUACUUCUGCUGUUUCCCCAGAAGAGGGAGACAUUACCAAUAGAAUUCCAUCUUCAGGUUCAAUUUCUAAAUUUGGUCACAAACUGGUGCUGCCAGCUGUGGGAAGUGGCAUAGAAUUCACAGAGAAAGUGAUGAGCCGCACAUGUUUGGAGGCACAAGUACCAAGAGGAGCACCACAGGCCAGUGAUCCUGGAGGAGUUUGAGAGGAUAAAAUUAGAUUAAACUCUGUCGGCAGGAGCAGAGUCCCUGAGCACCAUGGAGUCUCUGAGCAACAGGAACUGUCCACAGACAAACCUGAACAGACUGUCCAACAGUCCAGCUGGCAUUU
rnacentral:lncRNA from 1 species